rnacentral:rRNA from 1 species
GAGUUUGAUCAUGGCUCAGAUUGAACGCUGGCGGCAUGCCUUACACAGGCAAGUCGAACGGCAGCACGGGAGCUUGCUCCUGGUGGCGAGUGGCGAACGGGUGAGUAAUGCAUCGGAACGUAUCCUGGAGUGGGGGAUAACGUAGCGAAAGUUACGCUAAUACCGCAUAUUCUGUGAGCAGGAAAGCGGGGGACCUUCGGGCCUCGCGCUCUUGGAGCGGCCGAUGUCGGAUUAGCUAGUUGGUGAGGUAAAGGCUCACCAAGGCGACGAUCCGUAGCAGGUCUGAGAGGAUGAUCUGCCACACUGGAACUGAGACACGGUCCAGACUCCUACGGGAGGCAGCAGUGGGGAAUUUUGGACAAUGGGGGCAACCCUGAUCCAGCCAUGCCGCGUGAGUGAAGAAGGCCU